rnacentral:rRNA from 1 species
AUUGAACGCUGGCGGCAGGCUUAACACAUGCAAGUCGAGCGGUAGCACAAGAGAGCUUGCUCUCUGGGUGACGAGCGGCGGACGGGUGAGUAAUGUCUGGGAAACUGCCUGAUGGAGGGGGAUAACUACUGGAAACGGUAGCUAAUACCGCAUAACGUCGCAAGACCAAAGAGGGGGACCUUCGGGCCUCUUGCCAUCAGAUGUGCCCAGAUGGGAUUAGCUAGUAGGUGGGGUAAUGGCUCACCUAGGCGACGAUCCCUAGCUGGUCUGAGAGGAUGACCAGCCACACUGGAACUGAGACACGGUCCAGACUCCUACGGGAGGCAGCAGUGGGGAAUAUUGCACAAUGGGCGCAAGCCUGAUGCAGCCAUGCCGCGUGUGUGAAGAAGGCCUUCGGGUUGUAAAGCACUUUCAGCGAGGAGGAAGGUGGUGAACUUAAUACGUUCAUCAAUUGACGUUACUCGCAGAAGAAGCACCGGCUAACUCCGUGCCAGCAGCCGCGGUAAUACUGAGGGUGCAAGCGUUAAUCGGAAUUACUGGGCGUAAAGCGCACGCAGGCGGUUUGUUAGUCAGAUGUGAAAUCCCCGGGCUCAACCUGGGAACUGCAUCUGAAACUGGCAAGCUAGAGCCUCGUAGAGGGGGGUAGAAUUCCAGGUGUAGCGGUGAAAUGCGUAGAGAUCUGGAGGAAUACCGGUGGCGAAGGCGGCCCCCUGGACGAAGACUGACGCUCAGGUGCGAAAGCGUGGGGAGCAAACAGGAUUAGAUACCCUGGUAGUCCACGCUGUAAACGAUGUCGAUUUGGAGGUUGUGCCCUUGAGGCGUGGCUUCCGGAGCUAACGCGUUAAAUCGACCGCCUGGGGAGUACGGCCGCAAGGUUAAAACUCAAAUGAAUUGACGGGGGCCCGCACAAGCGGUGGAGCAUGUGGUUUAAUUCGAUGCAACGCGAAGAACCUUACCUACUCUUGACAUCCAGAGAACUUUCCAGAGAUGGAUUGGUGCCUUCGGGAACUCUGGGACAGGUGCUGCAUGGCUGUCGUCAGCUCGUGUUGUGAAAUGUUGGGUUAAGUCCCGCAACGAGCGCAACCCUUAUCCUUUGUUGCCAGCGGUUCGGCCGGGAACUCAAAGGAGACUGCCAGUGAUAAACUGGAGGAAGGUGGGGAUGACGUCAAGUCAUCAUGGCCCUUACGAGUAGGGCUACACACGUGCUACAAUGGCAUAUACAAAGAGAAGCGACCUCGCGAGAGCAAGCGGACCUCAUAAAGUAUGUCGUAGUCCGGAUUGGAGUCUGCAACUCGACUCCAUGAAGUCGGAAUCGCUAGUAAUCGUAGAUCAGAAUGCUACGGUGAAUACGUUCCCGGGCCU